rnacentral:rRNA from 1 species
GCUUAACACAUGCAAGUCGAGGGGCAGCAUGGUCUUAGCUUGCUAAGGCCGAUGGCGACCGGCGCACGGGUGAGUAACACGUAUCCAACCUGCCGUCUACUCUUGGACAGCCUUCUGAAAGGAAGAUUAAUACAAGAUGGCAUCAUGAGUCCGCAUGUUCACAUGAUUAAAGGUAUUCCGGUAGACGAUGGGGAUGCGUUCCAUUAGAUAGUAGGCGGGGUAACGGCCCACCUAGUCUUCGAUGGAUAGGGGUUCUGAGAGGAAGGUCCCCCACAUUGGAACUGAGACACGGUCCAAACUCCUACGGGAGGCAGCAGUGAGGAAUAUUGGUCAAUGGGCGAGAGCCUGAACCAGCCAAGUAGCGUGAAGGAUGACUGCCCUAUGGGUUGUAAACUUCUUUUAUAAAGGAAUAAAGUCGGGUAUGCAUACCCGUUUGCAUGUACUUUAUGAAUAAGGAUCGGCUAACUCCGUGCCAGCAGCCGCGGUAAUACGGAGGAUCCGAGCGUUAUCCGGAUUUAUUGGGUUUAAAGGGAGCGUAGAUGGAUGUUUAAGUCAGUUGUGAAAGUUUGCGGCUCAACCGUAAAAUUGCAGUUGAUACUGGAUAUCUUGAGUGCAGUUGAGGCAGGCGGAAUUCGUGGUGUAGCGGUGAAAUGCUUAGAUAUCACGAAGAACUCCGAUUGCGAAGGCAGCCUGCUAAGCUGCAACUGACAUUGAGGCUCGAAAGUGUGGGUAUCAAACAGGAUUAGAUACCCUGGUAGUCCACACGGUAAACGAUGAAUACUCGCUGUUUGCGAUAUACAGCAAGCGGCCAAGCGAAAGCGUUAAGUAUUCCACCUGGGGAGUACGCCGGCAACGGUGAAACUCAAAGGAAUUGACGGGGGCCCGCACAAGCGGAGGAACAUGUGGUUUAAUUCGAUGAUACGCGAGGAACCUUACCCGGGCUUAAAUUGCAGAUGAAUUACGGUGAAAGCCGUAAGCCGCAAGGCAUCUGUGAAGGUGCUGCAUGGUUGUCGUCAGCUCGUGCCGUGAGGUGUCGGCUUAAGUGCCAUAACGAGCGCAACCCUUGUUGUCAGUUACUAACAGGUUCCGCUGAGGACUCUGACAAGACUGCCAUCGUAAGAUGUGAGGAAGGUGGGGAUGACGUCAAAUCAGCACGGCCCUUACGUCCGGGGCUACACACGUGUUACAAUGGGGGGGUACAGAGGGCCGCUACCACGCGAGUGGAUGCCAAUCCCAAAAACCUCUCUCAGUUCGGACUGGAGUCUGCAACCCGACUCCACGAAGCUGGAUUCGCUAGUAAUCGCGCAUCAGCCACGGCGCGGUGAAUACGUUCCCGGGCCUUGUACACACCGCCCGUCAAGCCAUGGGAGCCGGGGGUACCUGAAGUGCGUAACCGCGAGGAGCGCCCUAGGGUAAAACUGGUGACUGGGGCUAAGU